rnacentral:rRNA from 1 species
GAUCCUGAUCUGGAAAAUUUCUUCGACCAACUGGAUCUCAACGAGGAAGAAUUUGAUGACGUGGAGAUCAAUGAAGAGGACCCGGAGAUCAAGGAAAGCGUCCGUUGGUUAGCCCUUGCUAGGGUUCAUACCGACAAAACCUUCUCCCCGUCGGCCUUCUACAGGGAGAUGAGGGCGACUUGGAACCCUGCGCAAGGUGUUAGAUUCCGGCCGGUCGGGCCUAACAGAUUCAUUGUCCAGGCAUCAUGCUUGGGGGACCGGGAGCGGAUCAUGCAACAUGGCGGUGCUACUAUGCGUGUAUGA